rnacentral:ncRNA from 1 species
UGGCCUUUUUAUUAGCCCAUAGCAAGCUUACACAUGCAAGCAUCUACGCCCCAGUGAGAAUGCCCUCUAUAUCAUUUAGCCCGAUCAAAAGGAGCAGGCAUUAAGUUCGCUAUCAUACAGCAGCUCACGACACCUUGCUAAACCACACCCCCACGGGAUACAGCAGUGAUUAAACUUAAGCAACAUAAACGAAAGUUUGACUAAGCUAUGCUAUAACAGAAUUGGUAAAUUUCGUGCCAGCCACCGCGGUCAUACGAUUAAUUCUAGUUAAUAAAAUACGGCGUAAAGCGUGAUUAAGGAUAAAUAUAAAAUAAGACUAAGCUUAGGCUAAGCUGUAAAAAGCCCUAGCCAUAAUAAAAAUAAAGAACGAAAGUAGUCUUACCUACCCUGAACUCACGAUAGCUAAGACCCAAACUGGGAUUAGAUACCCCACUAUGCUUAGCCCUAAACACAAAUAUUUAAAAAACAAAACUAUUCGCCAGAGAACUACUAGCUACUGCUUAAAACUCAAAGGACUUGGCGGUGCUUUAUAUCCCUCUAGAGGAGCCUGUUCUAUAAUCGAUAAACCCCGAUAAACCUCACCACCCUUUGCAAUUCAGCCUAUAUACCGCCAUCUUCAGCAAACCCUAAUAAGGUCCCAUAGUAAGCAUAAGAAUACUACAUAAAAACGUUAGGUCAAGGUGUAGCCUAUAGGGUGGUAAGCAAUGGGCUACAUUUUCUACAUCUCCUAGAACAACAACCCAAACGAUGGCUUUUAUGAAACUUAAUACAAGCUCAAGGCGGAUUUAGUAGUAAGUUAGGAAUAGAGUGCCUAACUGAAUUGGGC